GUGGGGAAUUUUGGACAAUGGGGGCAACCCUGAUCCAGCCAUUCCGCGUGAGUGAAGAAGGCCUUCGGGUUGUAAAGCUCUUUCGUCAGGAACGAAACGGCGGGCUCUAACAUAGCCUGUUAAUGACGGUACCUGAAGAAGAAGCACCGGCUAACUACGUGCCAGCAGCCGCGGUAAUACGUAGGGUGCGAGCGUUAAUCGGAAUUACUGGGCGUAAAGCGUGCGCAGGCGGAUUGUUAAGCAAGACGUGAAAUCCCCGGGCUUAACCUGGGAAUGGCGUUUUGAACUGGCAGUCUAGAGUGCGUCAGAGGGGGGUGGAAUUCCACGUGUAGCAGUGAAAUGCGUAGAGAUGUGGAGGAACACCGAUGGCGAAGGCAGCCCCCUGGGAUGACACUGACGCUCAUGUACGAAAGCGUGGGUAGCAAACAGGAUUAGACACCCUGGUAGUCC
rnacentral:rRNA from 1 species